rnacentral:pre_miRNA from 1 species
UUUCUACUCCCUCCGUCCGAAAAUACUUGUGAUCAAAAUGGAUAAAAAGAGAUGUAUCUAAAACUAAAAUAUGUCUAGAUACAUUUCCUUUUAUCCAUUUUGAUGACAAGUAUUUCCGGGCGGAGGGAGUAUUUG